rnacentral:RNase_P_RNA from 1 species
CGAGUCGGCUGGGCGAUCGCGGCACCUCGGUGCCGAGGAAAGUCCGGCCUCCACAGGGCAAGGUGGUGGGCAACACCCACCCGGGGCGACCCGCGGGAAAGUGCCACAGAGAACAGACCGCCAGGAGCAAUCCUGGCAAGGGUGAAACGGUGGUGUAAGAGACCACCAGCGCGCCAGGUGACUGGCGCGGCUCGGCAAACCCCACCCGGAGCAAGGUCAAGAGGGCCGAUGCCCUGCCCGCGAGGGUGGGGCAGGAGCCUGCGCAGGCGAGCGGCCCGCUCGAUGCCUGCGGGUAGACCGCACCAGGCUGCCGGCAACGGCAGUCGCAGAUGGAUGAUCGCCACCCGGGCAACCGGGCACAGAAGCCGGCUUAUAGGCCGACUCGUCCC